AUUGAACGCUGGCGGCAGGCCUAACACAUGCAAGUCGAACGGAGUGGCGGACGGGUGAGUAAUACCUAGGAAUCUGCCUGGUAGUGGGGGAUAACGUUCGGACACGGACGCUAAUACCGCAUACUAUCAGAUGAGCCUAGGUCGGAUUAGCUAGUUGGUGAGGUAAUGGCUCACCAAGGCUACGAUCCGUAACUGGUCUGAGAGGAUGAUCAGUCAAACUGGAACUGAGACAGGGUCCGGACUCCUACGGGAGGCAGCAGUGGGGAAUAUUGGACAAUGGGCGAAAGCCUGAUCCAGCCAUGCCGCGUGUGUGAAGAAGGUCUUCGGAGUGUAAAGCACUUUAAGUUGGGAGGCGUUACCGACAGAAUAAGCACCGGCUAACUCUGUGCCAGCAGCCGCGGUAAUUC
rnacentral:rRNA from 1 species